GACGAACGCUGGCGGCGUGCUUAACACAUGCAAGUCGAACGGAAAGGCCCUGCUUUUGUGGGGUGCUCGAGUGGCGAACGGGUGAGUAACACGUGAGUAACCUGCCCUUGACUUUGGGAUAACUUCAGGAAACUGGGGCUAAUACCGGAUAGGAGCUCCUGCUGCAUGGUGGGGGUUGGAAAGUUUCGGCGGUUGGGGAUGGACUCGCGGCUUAUCAGCUUGUUGGUGGGGUAGUGGCUUACCAAGGCUUUGACGGGUAGCCGGCCUGAGAGGGUGACCGGCCACAUUGGGACUGAGAUACGGCCCAGACUCCUACGGGAGGCAGCAGUGGGGAAUAUUGCACAAUGGGCGGAAGCCUGAUGCAGCAACGCCGCGUGCGGGAUGACGGCCUUCGGGUUAUAAACCGCUUUCGCCUGUGGCGAAGCGUGAGUGACGGUAAUGGGUAAAGAAGCACCGGCUAACUACGUG
rnacentral:rRNA from 1 species